GACGAACGCUGGCGGCGUGCUUAACACAUGCAAGUCGAACGGACGAGUGAGAUAAGUUUACUUAACUCACAAGUUAGUGGCGGACGGGUGAGUAACACGUGGAUAAUCUACCUGCAACACCGGGAUAACGCUGUGAAAACGGUGCUAAUACCGGAUACGUUCCCUUGUGCGCAUGUAUGAGGGAAGAAAGCUCAGGCGGUUGCAGAUGAGUCCGCGGCUGAUUAGCUAGUUGGUGAGGUAAAGGCUCACCAAGGCGAUGAUCAGUAGCCGGCCUGAGAGGAUGUACGGCCACACUGGGACUGAGAUACGGCCCAGACUCCUACGGGAGGCAGCAGUUGGGAAUCUUAGGCAAUGGACGAAAGUCUGACCUAGCGACGCCGCGUGAGGGAAAAGGCCUUCGGUGUAACCUCUGUCAUGGGAAGAAGUAAGUGACGGUACCCAACGACGGAAGACCCCGGCUACUAACGUGACCGAGCAGCCGACGAAGAGUAGUACA
rnacentral:rRNA from 1 species